rnacentral:rRNA from 1 species
AGUCGAACGAGCGAGAGAGAGCUUGCUUUCUCGAGCGAGUGGCGAACGGGUGAGUAACGCGUGAGGAACCUGCCUCAAAGAGGGGGACAACAGUUGGAAACGACUGCUAAUACCGCAUAAGCCCACGGGUCGGCAUCGACCAGAGGGAAAAGGAGCAAUCCGCUUUGAGAUGGCCUCGCGUCCGAUUAGCUAGUUGGUGAGGUAACGGCCCACCAAGGCGACGAUCGGUAGCCGGACUGAGAGGUUGAACGGCCACAUUUGGACUGAGACACGGCCCAGACUCCUACGGGAGGCAGCAGUGGGGAAUAUUGCACAAUGGGGGAAACCCUGAUGCAGCGACGCCGCGUGGAGGAAGAAGGUCUUCGGAUUGUAAACUCCUGUUGUUGGGGAAGAUAAUGACGGUACCCAACAAGGAAGUGACGGCUAACUACGUGCCAGCAGCCGCGGUAAAACGUAGGUCACAAGCGUUGUCCGGAAUUACUGGGUGUAAAGGGAGCGCAGGCGGGAAGACAAGUUGGAAGUGAAAUCUAUGGGCUCAACCCAUAAACUGCUUUCAAAACUGUUUUUCUUGAGUAGUGCAGAGGUAGGCGGAAUUCCCGGUGUAGCGGUGGAAUGCGUAGAUAUCGGGAGGAACACCAGUGGCGAAGGCGGCCUACUGGGCACCAACUGACGCUGAGGCUCGAAAGUGUGGGUAGCAAACAGGAUUAGAUACCCUGGUAGUCCACACCGUAAACGAUGAUUACUAGGUGUUGGAGGAUUGACCCCUUCAGUGCCGCAGUUAACACAAUAAGUAAUCCACCUGGGGAGUACGACCGCAAGGUUGAAACUCA